rnacentral:tRNA from 1 species
GGAAAGGUGGCAGAGCGGUUUAAUGCAGCGGUCUUGAAAACCGUCGAGGGCGCGAGCCCUCCGGGAGUUCGAAUCUCCCCCUUUCCGCCA